rnacentral:rRNA from 1 species
AGUGAACGCUGGCGGCGUGCUUAACACAUGCAAGUCGAACGAGAACGGAAUAUAGCUUGCUAUAUUUGUCAGCUAAGUGGCGCACGGGUGAGUAAUGUAUAGAUAACCUGCCCUUAAGAAAGGAAUAACAGUUGGAAACGACUGCUAAUGCCCUAUAUGCCUUUAAUACAUAAGUAUGCAAGGGAAACGCUUUAGUGCUUAAGGAUGGGUCUGUAUGGUAUCAGCUUGUCGGUGAGGUAAUGGCUCACCAAGGCUAUGACGCCUAACGGGUUUGGGAGGAUGAUCAGUCACACUGGAACUGAGACACGGUCCAGACGCCUACGGGAGGCAGCAGUGGCGAAUAUUGCACAAUGGACGAAAGUCUGAUGCAGCAACGCCGCGUGGAGGAUGACACAUUUCGGUGCGUAAACUCCUUUUAUAUAGGAAGAUAAUGACGGUACUAUAUGAAUAAGCACCGGCUAACUCCGUGCCAGCCGCCGCGGUAAUAC